UGAGGAUGUUAAUGAGAGCCCACAAGUUCUUGUCUUGAGAGCUUCGCACCAUGUGUCGGACUUCAUGCGGGUAAAAAUAUCAAAGGAUUGUUGGGUGUUAGAAAAAUCUUGGGUCCCACUUCAGCAGUUUCUAUGUCCCAUAUGUUUCAUUGCACUAGAGAAUCCCCACCCCCUAAUUUGCUUGAAAUCAAUUUUGAUGGCAAUGUGAAGAAUAGAGG
rnacentral:lncRNA from 1 species